GCUUCUGUUAGUUUGACAAUGGCGGCUCGCGGCGUGGUGAUGUUGGCCCGUUUACCCCUAUGUGCUCAGAGAAGUCAAGUCCUGCGUCCUACUCACAGGCUUUUCAGUUGCCCAGGAACUGUGGCCGCAGACGUUAAGAGAGAAGAGCAGUCCUCGAGGAACGUGGAGACAGGCUCUGAAGGCCGGACUCCCAAAAAGAAAUUCUCUGAGGUGCAGAAAGAAAGACGGGAACAGGCACAGCGAACUGUUCUAAUACGUUGCCCAAAUAAAAUCAGUGAAAAAAAGUUUCUGAAAUAUUUAUCCCAACAUGGACCUAUUAAUAGUCAUUUCUUCUAUGAGAGUUUUGGUCUUUAUGCUGUUGUAGAGUUUUCUCAAAAGGAAAGUGUCACUUCACUACAGAAUGUAACUCGAACUCCGAGUAUGGAGACAGAGGCUGCAAUUCCAUUCAAGUCACGUUUCUUCAAUUUAAAGAUGAAGAAUCCAUCAAGCCAGACUUCAGAACAGUCCUGUAUACAAAGCAGUAAUCAUUCCCCUCCUUCAAACAAGAAGCUUUCUGAAUUACUUUGUUAUGCAGAAAGUAUGGAUGAUCAGCUGAACACUCUCCUGAAGGAGUUCCAGUUAACGGAGGAGGACAUUAAGCUCCGAUAUCUCACCUGUUCUCUUAUUGAAGACCUAGCAGCUGCGUAUUUUCAGGACUGUACAGUGAGACCCUUUGGCUCCUCAGUGAACAGUUUUGGGAAAUUAGGAUGUGAUUUGGACAUGUUUUUGGAUCUAGAUGAAAUUGGAAAACUCAGCACCAACAAGACCUCAGGAAAUUUUCUGAUGGAAUUUCAAGUGAAAAAUGUUCCUUCAGAAAGAAUUGCAACUCAGAAGAUCCUGUCUGUGAUAGGAGAAUGCCUUGACCACUUUGGCCCUGGUUGUGUGGGUGUACAAAAAAUCUUAAAUGCUCGGUGUCCUCUUGUGAGGUUCUCACACCAGGCCUCUGGAUUUCAGUGUGAUUUGACUACUAAUAAUAGGAUUGCCUUGAAAAGUUCUGAACUCCUUUAUAUAUAUGGUACUCUGGACUCAAGAGUGAGAGCCUUGGUGUUCAGUAUUCGAUGCUGGGCUCGAGCACAUUCAUUAACGAGUAGUAUUCCUGGCUCUUGGAUUACAAAUUUCUCUCUUACAAUGAUGGUAAUCUUUUUUCUCCAGAGGAGAUCACCCCCUAUUCUUCCAACACUUGACUACCUAAAAACUCUAGCAGAUGCAGAAGAUAAAUGUAUAAUAGAAGGCCACAACUGUACAUUUAUUCAUGACUUGAAUAGAAUUAAACCUUCAGGAAACACAGAAACACUAGAAUCACUACUGAAAGAAUUUUUUGAAUAUUUUGGCAAUUUCGCUUUCAAUAAAAAUUCCAUAAAUAUUCGACAGGGAAGGGAACAGAACAAACCAGAGUCUUCUCCACUGCACAUUCAGAAUCCUUUUGAAACAUCUCUCAACAUCAGCAAAAACGUAAAUCAAAGCCAGCUACAAAAAUUUGUAGAUCUGGCCCAAGAAAGUGCCUGGAUUUUAAGUCAGGAAGAUAAAGACCGCCCUUCCCCAUCAAGUCAUCAGCCCUGGGGGCUGGCGUCACUGCUGCAGCCUUCAGUGCUAAGCAGUGUGUCUCUUGCCAAGAAGAAAAGGAAGAAGCCUGCAAGUGAGCGAAUUAAAAAUUUGCUGGAAUCCAUAAAAAGUAGCAGUCCAGAAAAUGACACACACACCAAUGGGAAGAGAACAGUUAGUACUCAGGCUUAGUGGCUACUCCUUUGCUUGAAGAACUGGUUUUCCCCGAGAACAUUGCUCUUUCGACCGCCUGGAAGAACUGGUGUGAAACUCUCUCACAGAUCUCUAGGGAUCACAGAGGAGAAGAGAAAAUACAGUCGAAGUAGGACUUCCUGCUGUCAUUUACUACGUGCCUCUUCCUUUUGCUCAGGGGCUGUGGUCAGGUGAGAACAGAAUUAGAAUUGUUUCAAGUUACGUCAUGUUCCUAGAAAUUUCUUGGCCUUUAAAGUACAGCUCUGUUCAGUUACUUACAGCUUGCUGGUACCACAGUAGGGAAAAGCUACAUUUGCAUGUGUCGUUUAAGCCAACACAGGGAACAUCCACAGCAAAGCUAGCAGGAAGAGCAACCAAGCAGUCACAGCUUGUCCACAUAGCAACCCUUCACUUGCCAGAGUUUGGCAUUCGGUUGGUGAGUAGCUGUCCUCAGGUCUCCAUUCAGUCCUUUCAGGAAAUCUUGUAGGAGUGCAACAUUCAAAACACCAUAGAAAUGAAUAAACCAUUUUUGCCUGAGAUGAUCGGAGAAAGCUUCAUUGAUGAAUAGCAUAGGUAGAUCUUGAAAGGAUAGGUAGACUGAGAGAGGGGCAUAGGGUUUAUUGUUCUGGAAAAGAGGACAGCCUGAGGAAGAGUCAGGAAGAGGGAAGUGUAUUUGGAGAACUGGCAGUUUGGGUGGGUUGGGAUAUAGUUUUUACCGUGAUACUCAAAAAGAGUUAAGGUUGAGUGAGAUCAUGAAGGACUGCCAAUGGCAAUUUAAGGAAGUUGAGUGUAUUUUCAGUGGUAAGCUGUUGAAGGUUUUUGUGUAAAAAUAAUAAAAACUAAGGCAGUGCUUUUAGACAGUCUGUUCAUACCAAGUAGUUUUAGAUCACUUCUCCUUUUUUGCAACUUUGAGUUCCAUGGAUCUCAUCAUUAAGGGUAGAUAAAAUCUGGCUGUUAAAUUUUCCAUAAAGGUCCAGAAGCUGACCCCCAUAUACCUCUGAGGAGUCUUUCUUCUUAAUAUUUAAUAAGGAAGUAAGGUUUAAGUAGUUUUUAAAGUCAUCAUUCAGGAAAUACCAGGUCAUGACACACAAUUUCAUGUAAAGCCUUAUUAAUGAGAAAUUCUUUACAGUAUAUACUUGGAAUGAAAGCAUAACCAAAAAUCACUUUUCACCUCAGGAUGAUGUUGGAAAAUUUAUUUUAAAUACUUGAAAGGCUUAUUUUGGUUUCAUGCAGAGUUCAGUUACUUGUGGAUAUAUAUUCCAAACAAUAUAAACAUUACAAUGCUCCUCUGGAAUUCCCAUGGAGCAACUCCCAGAAAAUGUCUAUUUUAGAUAGAAUCUUUAAUCUGUAAUAUGUAUAAUACAGGAUAUAUAAAAUCACCACAAAUUAUUUAAAAAUAUACUGUUCAUAUGUUAUCUGUGGUAUGUGUAUCCCACCCACCUUUAAGAACUCAGUGGAGUCAAAGCUAGAUUAAAGGCAUUAUUCACUUUUUCUGUCUACUCUUAGAUAAAUGCACUUAAACUUACCGUCCCCCUUUGGUAAAGUUUCGAAGCUGUUAACAUGUAGUGCUAAAACAUUUUAAAUGAGGGUAUUGGAAAGAUUCAACUUGAAUAGUAAAUGUUACACUUUGAAGCCAGUAUAACAUGGCAAAAUACCUAAUUUGGAAUAGGCCAAGGCAAAAUUAACAAAAAAAUACAGGUUAUAAAUUGAAAACUUACUGUGAUGGAUGCUGUCAAAUAAAAUGGCUUCCAAUUAACAAAAAGAUUACAGAUCAUGUCUGUAUUAUGUUCUGGGUUACCAGAAUUCUUUUAACUUAUUAAAUUGUUAGGUACAAUGAAAGUCUUACAUUUUUGAAGCUUUUCCUGUUACAGAGUUACUGGUAUUUGGCUUAGAUUAAUGCAGCUUAAUGAUUAGGGUUUUAAUUAAUCUUUGCUGAGUUUACACCUGGACUUGGAGCGUGGUGUAAAAUAGCAUAUUGACAUGUUCUCUGUCCCAAAGUUUAACAGUAAAAGGUGGAUUAUGAAGCCGACUGAUGUCAUGAGAUGGAAUCUGAAACUCAAAGACUCUUUUUUGUUUUUUGUUUUUUUUAUUCCAUCUAAAAUGUGUAUUGUAACUCUAUAAAUACACAUAUCAAUGUAAAACUCACACAAGCUUCACCUAAAUUGGGAGAGGUAAUCAAGACAUGAACUAAGCUAAUGGCAACAGAAAUAGAAAAAGAUUAAACCAAACAAAGGGGGGGAAAAACAGAGUCUAAAAGGAUCCCAGCAUUUGAGCCAAGCUUCAACUUGCUAUUCUUUGUUAACGAUUAAUUUUGGUGAUUUAGAAGGGCUGUUUGUUAAUUAAUGAUUUAUGUGGUAAUGUCCCUUCACAUCCCCUUCUUUCCCAUUCUCUAAUAGACCCAACAGUAAAUAUCUUUGGAGUUUCCCUGCUUGAUUGCUAGGCAUUACUGAUUAUAAAAUUCAGUUAUCAAUAUUGACUGGUUUCCUUUUUAACUUUA